CUUCUAUCAGCCCUUAUCCCAGGGCAGGAAGAACAGCCUUGAUCCUGGAUCCCAGGCACAGCUGGGUGUCAGACCUGGAGGAGAAGCUCCCAGAGUGACCAAGAUAGAAUCGGCAUGCAGCUGAAGCCACUUGCUCAGAGCCGCACAGCAAGCCCACCACCCUGAACCUCCAGAUUACCAACUCAGCAUUGUGUCCUGACAGUGUCAUCAUAGAUGGUCAACACCGUCACCUGGGCAGCACUGAAGCCCAGAGCGGGAGAGACUGGCUCAAGACCAUGGCCUCUCCUGGUCUGACAGUCUCAGAUGCAGUCAUGGAUGGCUUUCUGGAGGAGGUGGUACCUGGUCUGUGGGAAGUAGGGGUCAGCAUCCUGGUCUCUGGGAGCAUCUGCUCCAGAUGGUUUCCCUGGGGCCCCCAGAAGCAGGUGUUUGCGCUAACAGCUCUGCAAGCAGAGAGCUUCAGUGCAUGGCCCUUCUUGCCCUUGUUCCCAGGCACAUGCUGUUCCCCUGGGGCUGAAUACCCCACUUACUUGUAAAUCCCAGUGCUCUCCUGUUCAUUCUGCAGUGCCAGCACAAGUCUCCUCCUUGGGGAAGGCUUUCUGGACUUCCCAGCCCACUGGCCAUUGUUCCGUCUUGCAGGUGCCCCCUCAGGGUGCCUGCUGUAACCGUCACUCACAUAUCUCCCCCACCCAACAGAGGGCCUUGCUUUUGGUCCUGGACCUGCACCUUUGACUGUAUUCUUAGUGAUUUGUCCAAGCCCACCCUGGGAGAUAGGGGCGGUGCCAGGCUAGCACCCAGUUCUCCUGGGUUCUCUGAGAAAGUUCCUACCUUCUUCCCUGGCUCACAAGUAGUACUUAAGCAGUUUUGGUUGUUAAAGAAAAUACUGAAUUUAUUCUUCCAACCACUCAUAUAUAUAUAUAAAUCAGUGUUAUUGAGAAACAAUUUACAAAAUGCACCCAUUUUCACUGUACAGUUCAGUGAAUUUUAACAGGUGUGUACAGUGGUGUAAACACUGCCACACCCAAGAUAUCACACAUUUCCAUCACCCCUCAAAAUCUCCUCAUACCCCUUCCUGAUCAAUCCCUCUUCCUGCCUCAGGCAACAUUUGAUUUGAUUUUAUCAAUAUCGAUUAGUUUUGCAUGUUCUAGAAUGUCCUAUAAAUUGUGAUUAGGCAGUAUGUACUUUCUGUGUAGUGCCAUGCAUGUUGUAUCUUGCAUGAGUAGUUCGGCCCUUUGCAUUGCUGGGUAGUAUUCUGGAGAAUGGACAUUCCACAAUUUGUUUAUCUGUUCACCAAUUGAUAGAAUUUGGGUUAUUUCCAGUUUGGGGAUUUUAUGAAUAAAGCUGC
rnacentral:lncRNA from 1 species